UCCGGAAUUAUUGGGCGUAAAGCGUCCGCAGGCGGCCUUUCAAGUCUGCUGUUAAAAAGUGGAGCUUAACUCCAUCAUGGCAGUGGAAACUGUUGGGCUCGAGUGUGGUAGGGGCAGAGGGAAUUCCCGGUGUAGCGGUGAAAUGCGUAGAUAUCGGGAAGAACACCAGUGGCGAAGGCGCUCUGCUGGGCCAUUACUGACGCUCAUGGACGAAAGCCAGGGGAGCGAAAGGGAUUAGAUACCCCUGUAGUCCACGCCGUAAACGAUGCAUACUAGGUGUUGGCCUUAGGGCCAGUGCUGCAGUUAACGCAUUAAGUAUGCCACCUGGGGAGUACGUCGGCAACGAUGAAACUCAAAGGAAUCGACGGGGGCCCGCACAAGCGGUGGAGCAUGUGGCUUAAUUCGAUGCAACGCGAGGAACCUUACCUGGGCUAAAUCCACAGUGAUGUCUUCUGGAAACAGGAGGUCCCUUAGGGGCACUAUGGAAGGUGCUGCAUGGCU
rnacentral:rRNA from 1 species